GUGGGGAAUCUUGCGCAAUGGGCGAAAGCCUGACGCAGUCAUGCCGCGUGAAUGAUGAAGGUCUUAGGAUUGUAAAAUUCUUUCACCGGGGACGAUAAUGACGGUACCCGGAGAAGAAGCUCCGGCUAACUUCGUGCCAGCAGCCGCGGUAAUACGAAGGGGGCUAGCGUUGCUCGGAAUUACUGGGCGUAAAGGGCGCGUAGGCGGACAGCUUAGUCAGAGGUGAAAGCCCAGGGCUCAACCUUGGAAUUGCCUUUGAUACUGGCUGUCUUGAGUUUGGGAGAGGUGAUUGGAACUCCGAGUGUAGAGGUGAAAUUCGUAGAUAUUCGGAAGAACACCAGUGGCGAAGGCGACUCACUGGCCCAAUACUGACGCUGAGGCGCGAAAGCGUGGGGAGCAAACAGGAUUAGAUACCCCGGUAGUCC
rnacentral:rRNA from 1 species